CCUACGGGAGGCUGCAGUGGGGAAUAUUGCACAAUGGGCGCAAGCCUGAUGCAGCCAUGCCGCGUGUGUGAAGAAGGCCUUCGGGUUGUAAAGCACUUUCAGCGGGGAGGAAGGCGGUGAGGUUAAUAACCUCAUCGAUUGACGUUACCCGCAGAAGAAGCACCGGCUAACUCCGUGCCAGCAGCCGCGGUAAUACGGAGGGUGCAAGCGUUAAUCGGAAUUACUGGGCGUAAAGCGCACGCAGGCGGUCUGUCAAGUCGGAUGUGAAAUCCCCGGGCUCAACCUGGGAACUGCAUUCGAAACUGGCAGGCUAGAGUCUUGUAGAGGGGGGUAGAAUUCCAGGUGUAGCGGUGAGAUGCGUAGAGAUCUGGAGGAAUACCGGUGGCGAAGGCGGCCCCCUGGACAAAGACUGACGCUCAGGUGCGAAAGCGUGGGGAGCAAACAGGAUUAGAUACCCUAGUAGUC
rnacentral:rRNA from 1 species